AACGAACGCUGGCGGCAGGCUUAACACAUACAAGUCGAGCGCCCCGCAAGGGGAGCGGCAGACGGGUGAGUAACGCGUGGGAAUCUACCCAUCUCUACGGAAUAACGCAUGGAAACGUGUGCUAAUACCGUAUACGUCCUUCGGGAGAAAGAUUUAUCGGAGAUGGAUGAGCCCGCGUUGGAUUAGCUAGUUGGUGGGGUAAAGGCCUACCAAGGCGACGAUCCAUAGCUGGUCUGAGAGGAUGAUCAGCCACACUGGGACUGAGACACGGCCCAGACUCCUCCGGGAGGCAGCAGUGGGGAAUAUUGGACAAUGGGCGCAAGCCUGAUCCAGCCAUGCCGCGUGAGUGAUGAAGGCCCUAGGGUUGUAAAGCUCUUUCACCGGUGAAGAUAAUGACGGUAACCGGAGAAGAAGCCCCGGCUAACUCCGUGCCAGCCGCCGCGGUAAAAC
rnacentral:rRNA from 1 species